rnacentral:lncRNA from 1 species
ACCGAUUCAUCUGAAAAUUUCAGGGCAGAUAGAUCUUGACCUGAUAAACAUUUUUAUCCCAUGUCAGAUUUGCUCUAAAUGCUUUGGUUUUUGAGUUAUAAGCCAAAAACUGCAUUUUACCCCUAUGUUCUAUUUUUAGCCGUGGCGGCCAUCUUGGUUGGUUGACCGGAUCACGCCACACAUUUUUUAAACUAGAUACCCAAUGAUGAUUGUGGCCAAGUUUGGUUUGAUUUGGCCCAGUAGUUUCAGAGGAGAAGAUUUUUGUAAAAGUUAACGACGACGGACGCAGGACGACGACGGACGACGACGGACGACGCCGGACGCCGGACGCAAAGUGAUGGGAAAAGCUCACUUGGCCCUUCGGGCCAGGUGAGCUAAAAA